UUUAUGGAUUCACAAAAAAGAACCGAAUUAAACUACACUCCUAAAUUAAUCAUAUAUUCUUGUGUGUGUGUAUUGGGUUCUUUUCUGUUUCGAACAAACAGUUGUGUAAAGUUUAUAUUUAUAACACUGAGUUUGUGGAUUUUACUUUAAAUAAACAACAAAAAAAAUCGCCCCAUCCGAUGAAUCAAUUAAAAUAAAAUUAGUUAACCAAUUAAAAUAAAAUUAGUUGACCAAUUAAAAUAGUUGUUAGUUGCAGCCCUAAAUAUUUUACACCCAAAUUAGUCUUGUAUAAUAACCGCUCAUUUUUUCUCCUCAAUGCAGACUGUCGUGUUGCCAUAGUAACCAAAUCACACUACGUAAUGCUAUCCACAGUCGGUACAACCCCGGAUCCUGCCUCCUCCAGCAUGGCCUGCACCCAAAAGACCCUUGUUGGCUCUAUAGCGCCUCCGGCGGCGGCGUUACGUAACUGCGACGGACUGCCGCGUGAUGACGUCACUACCGGAGCCGGAGAAAAUAAAUAAAUAAGUGUGCUUCAUGAAGAUGUGGUGUGUGAAGGUUGGAAGAAGGUAGAAGAACUCGAGUGUCCUGCACAGAACCCUGACCUCAACCCCACUGAUCACCUUUGGAAUGAACUGGAGACUCCUUCACAUCAACAUCAGCGCCUGACCUCAACCUCACUAACGCUCUUGUAGCUGAAUGAACACAAAUCCCCACAGCCAUGCCCCAAAAUCUAAUGGAAAGCCUUCCCAGAAGAGUGGAGCGCAUUAUAACAGUAUAGAGGAAUAAAUCUGGAAUGGGAUGUAUCCUUUAAUUGAUGUUCAUCCUAACAUCAAUUAAAGUGACUGAUUAACCCCAAAUAAAGUCCAGCUGUUCCUGUAAGAUUCUCCUGACAUCUUCUUGGUAACAUCCAGCUGGAAAAGCCAUGGGCUACAAAGAGCUUACAAUCAGGUACGGUUUCUGAUUGUUGAAAAAUAUAAUUCAGGAGAGGGUUACAAAAUAUUUCCAAGGCAUUGGAUAGACCAUGGAACACUGUAAAGAUAAUAGUUAACAACUGGAGAGAAUAUGGCACGACAGUGACACUACUAAGAACAGAACGUCCCUCUAAAACUGAUGGUCAGGGAGGCUGCUGAGAGGCCUACAGCAACAUUAAAAUAAUUGCAGCAAUUUCUAACAAGUACUGGUUGCUCCCUACAUGUGACAACAAUCUCCCGAAUUCUUCAUAUCUCUGGGCGGUGGAGUAGGGGGGCAAGAUGGAAGCCUUUUUUAACCUAAAUUAAAUGUUAGAAAAUAAUCCAAUCUCCCAAAUCGUGUGGAAUAAUGCGUUACGGUCGGUCUGAUGGGACCAAAGUUGAACUUUGUUGAAAAUACGUUUGGCACAAAAAAAGCACAAAGCACAUCACCAAAGGAACAGCAUCCUCACAGUGAAGCAUGGGGCUGGUAGCAUCAUGCUUUGAGGCUGUUUUUCUACAUCUGGAGCUGGGGCUUUAAUCGGGGUGGAGGGAAUAAUGAAUAACUCCAAAUACUAGUCACUUCUGGCACAAAACCUUAAGUCCAAAACACUUCACAUGAAUAGGAAUUUCACCUUUCAGCACAACAACGAUCCGAAGCAAACCUCCAGAUCAAUAAAGGAACGGCUUCACCAAAACAAGGUCACGGUUAUGGAACGGCCCCGCCAGAGUCCAGACCUAAAUCCAAUCAAAGAUCUGUGUGAUGACCUGAAGAGGGCUGUGUACAGGACACGCCCUGCCCAUCUGACAGAGUUAGAAUACUUUUAUAAGGAAGAAUGGCAAAAUAUUGCUAAGUCAACAACUCUUCCCCAAAAAGACUGAAUGCUGUGAUAAAAAUCUAAAGCUGCUUCUACUAAGUAUUAGUUUAUUAAGUUUUAGGGGUGUGCAAACUUAUACAAUCCGGUUAUUAUACAUGAUAUAUAUAUAUAUAUAUUUCCCCAUAAAAUGAUUUAACUUUA